rnacentral:piRNA from 1 species
ACUAAGGCUGACUGCUCGGAAGU